AUGUUCCAGAAACAUUCUCUCUUGAUGUUUCAUGUACAUAUGUGGAUGUGGGAGAAACGUCAGGAGAGCAUGCUUCUGGAACAUGGCCAUACAGCUCAGAAAACUGACAUCACUUCCUGCAAACAUUUUGAGAAGGGCUCCAAAGGAGUCCGAUUUCGUGCCGAGCUCCACUCCCGAAACCAAAGGCAACACAAAAACCAAACGUCUGAAAAGAAAUUAAUACAAAAUAAGCACAGCUUUAUCAUAGAGGUUAAUAAAAAAGGGCUAAUACUUAAAUUCUGUAUGCCUUUUACAAAGCAAAAACAAACCCCCCGAAUAACUGGAAAAGGUAAGGUGGAGGGGGGGAAAAGCAGCAAAGGAGUCCAACAAAGCAAUCUAAAGUCAGAAUCUGGAAUUAUUAUUAUUAUCAUUAAAUUUUUGUUUGUUUGUAAAUUUUUCUCUUUUUUGUUUUUUUGGAUGCUACUGUUCGGUAUACACUUUGGAAAAAAAAAGGCCAGUUCUGGAAGAAGAGGAGGAGGAGGAGGAAGAAGAACAUCGCUCUGUACCUAACAGGCUUUGGGGCAGAAAUGAUCUAAAAAUUUGGAGAAAAAUGGGUCUGGGAAAAAAGAGCAUUCACAUGCACAAUGUGUAUACAGGCACACACACAAUGCACACAUACGCACAAAGGCAAAAUCGAUUUGGAGGUAAGAAAGACCCAGCAAACUUCUCUCCGUUUGUAAUCUUGCAGGAAAAAUAAAAACAAACCUGGCAAACUUUUGGUUCAAUCAAAACCAGCUUUGAUCUAAGAUUCUUGGUGUCGAAAGGAUCCAUGCAUUAGGGUGCAUUUACACCAGGCAUGGGCAAACUUUGGCCCUCAGGGUGUUUUGGACUCCAACUCCCACCAUUCCUAGAGCCGACGGAUUGUUUAGUUUUUUUUUAAGAAGUGACCAGACGGCAGGAAACAAUCUGUUACGUGUCGGCUUAUUUGCUACUCCCUUAUCUCUUCUUUCUUCUCUUCUUUUUUUUUUAUUUUUUUAUUUGUGUGGGAUUUGAUGAUCCUUCACGUUUUCAUACCACUCCCC
rnacentral:lncRNA from 1 species